UACGUAGGGUGCAAGCGUUAAUCGGAAUUACUGGGCGUAAAGCGUGCGCAGGCGGUUUUGUAAGUCUGUCGUGAAAGCCCCGGGCUCAACCUGGGAACGGCAUUGGAAACUGGCUCGCUGGAGUGUGGCAGAGGGGGGUGGAAUUCCACGUGUAGCAGUGAAAUGCGUAGAUAUCAGGAGGAACACCGGUGGCGAAGGCGGAUCUCUGGGCCAUUACUGACGCUGAGGAGCGAAAGCGUGGGGAGCGAACAGG
rnacentral:rRNA from 1 species